UUAAAUUUGGGGAGUGUAAUUUUUAGAUUUGGAAUUUUUCUAAAUGUUUUUUAUUUACUCUUUGCAUUUUCUGACAAGUUCAUCGAAGCUUGGGUAAAUAAACAAAGUUCAUUUCCACCGCCAUCACAAUAGCUCCCCGGUGUUGUAUUUGACUUUUCUCCGGGUGAAAUCCACCUGAACAACCUACCCGGCCAGCCAUUCCAGAUCAGGGACAAGACAACACUAACAUCCAUCUCCUUCCUCUCUUCCUCCCUGCCGGAAUCCGGCGAAACACCACCAAAACUCCCCUUUGUUUCUCUCCUUUUUAAAGCCAAGCAAACCAGAAACACACCCACAACAGCCAAAACGAGCACUCUACCACCAAAAAACCACCAUUUCUGACGGUCGGAGCCACCAGAACAACAACCCCAUCUCUCCAUUUUUCCGACCCCAAACAGACCCCAUUUUCCUUUCUCUUCUCUGACCAGUCACACCUUUAAAACAUUACCCUCUUAAAAUUUUUGUUUGUUUUGCAGGUAUUCCGGCAAGCCAAAGCCAUGCUUUGCUGUUGUUCCAGGAUUUCUCCGGCGAAGGACAACAAACCAGACCCUUCCAUACGUUGCCUCUUUCACAACCCAACUCCAGAGAACAAUGGAUCCAACCAUUUGUUUGCUUCAGUGUGUUUACAGGUACCCAAGACUUGCUUCCUUGAAGCGAUUCGAAAAGAGUUCGAAUUAUAUUUUUCAAUUCAUUAUUUUGUAUAUAUCGAUGUUAGGCAAACUUUAGGCCGAUAUUAUUAUUUUAUUUUAUUGUGUAUGUUGCAUGAUUAUUAUAUUUGUAUAUUAUUUUAUUCACCUCCUCAAUUUGGAACUCAA